rnacentral:tRNA from 1 species
GUUCUGGGUGGCGAAGACGGCGUUCCAACCCUUCCGAUGGGUUACGAGUUCUGGCCCGAAUCGCUCGGCGCGUGUUUGCGGCGCGCGUGGGACU